UACGUAGGGCGCAAGCGUUAUCCGGAAUUAUUGGGCGUAAAGAGCUUGUAGGCGGUUUGUCGCGUCUGCUGUGAAAAUCCGGGGCUCAACCCCGGACUUGCAGUGGGUACGGGCAGACUAGAGUGUGGUAGGGGAGACUGGAAUUCCUGGUGUAGCGGUGAAUUGCGCAGAUAUCAGGAGGAACACCGAUGGCGAAGGCAGGUCUCUGGGCCACUACUGACGCUGAGAAGCGAAAGCAUGGGGAGCGAACAGG
rnacentral:rRNA from 1 species